GACGAACGCUGGCGGCGUGCUUAACACAUGCAAGUCGAACGGAAAGGCCCUGCUUUUGUGGUGUUCUCGAGUGGCGAACGUGUGAGUAACACGUGAGUAACCUGCCCUUGACUUUGGUAUAACUUCAGGAAACUGUGGCUUAUCCCGGAUAGGAGCUCCUUCUGCAUGUUGGGGGUUGGAAAGUUUCGUGGGUUGGGGAUGGACUCGCGGCUUAUCAGCUUGUUGGUGGGGUAGUGGCUUACCAAGGCGUUGAGGGGGAGCCUGCCUGAGAGGGUGACCGGGCAAAAUGGGGAAGAGAGAAGGGCCAGAAUCCCACAGGGGGGAGCAGGGGGGAAAAUUGGACAAAGGGGGGAAGCCUGAGGGAACGAAGCCGCGGGGGGGAUGAGGGCCUUUGGGUUGUAAACCCCUUUCGCGAGGGAAGAAGCGGGUUGGGAAGGUAAAUAGAUAAGAAGCACCGGCUAACUACGGG
rnacentral:rRNA from 1 species